UACGUAGGGUGCAAGCGUUUGUCCGGAAUUAUUGGGCGUAAAGAGCUCGUAGGCGGUCUGUCGCGUCGGCUGUGAAAACUCGAGGCUCAACCUCGAGACGUCGGUUGAAACCACCUGGCUAGAGUCCGGAAGAGGAGUGUGGAAUUCCCGGUGUAGCGGUGGAAUGCGCAGAUAUCGGGAGGAACACCCGUGGCGAAGGCGGCACUCUGGGACGGUACUGACGCUGAGACGCGAAAGCGUGGGGAGCAAACAGG
rnacentral:rRNA from 1 species